GUGGCUCAGUGAGUAGGGCAUUGGCUCCAUAUACCAAGGGUGGCAGGUUCAAAUCCUGCC
rnacentral:tRNA from 1 species